UCGUGCCAGGCGGGGAGCUAGCGGUGCCCUGAACCCUCAAUCCGCUAUAGAGGGGCCGGAUCCCCUCCUGAGGCUUUCUUGUAGAGGAAUGUGGCAGAGUAAGGAACGUGGAAGGCCGGGUCCUGUGCAACGCAUCGCUGUGAAUCAUGUCAGGCCCUGACGGGAGCAGCAUUAAGCGGAAAGAUGCGUGUGCCGCGGGGAAACCGGGUCUGAGUCACCUGUUCUGUCGUCGCCUGUAGGAGAUCGUCGAAGGAGGGUGCACGG
rnacentral:SRP_RNA from 1 species